rnacentral:rRNA from 1 species
AGUACGUGAAACUGCUUAGAGGUUAAGCCCGAUGAACCUGAAUAUCCAUUAUGGAAAAUUCAAUAUUAAGAAUAUAAUAUUAAUAAUAUUAUAUGAAUAACAUGCAAUUUUUCCAUAUAAGGACAUUGUAAUCUGUUAAUGUUAUAAAUAUUUAUCAAAAGAUCUAUUACUUAAGUUUAUUUAAAUUGUUUAUUUUCGGAUAUUCAACAUAAAAUAAAUGUUUUAGAUUAGAUAAAUCAUUGACAGAUAUAAUUAUAUAUUGUGCGCAAAUUUUUCGGAAUUUUACAAUAAUAAGUAGAUCUAUUGAUUUAUUUGUUUAUUGCCUGCACUUUUAUGAUUAACAAUGCGAUAGAUUCAGGAUACCUUCGGGACCCGUCUUGAAACACGGACCAAGGAGUCUAACAUAUGUGCAAGUCAUUGGGUAUUUUUAAUAAAACCCAAUGGCAUAAUUAACUUAACUGUUAUUUAUAAUGGGAUUAAUUUAUAUUUUGUUAUGAUUUAUUUAUUCAAUCCCGGGGCGUUCUAUACAGUUAUGCAUAAUAAUAUUUAUAUUAUUUAUGCCUCUAACUAGAGCGUACCUUGAGC